rnacentral:rRNA from 1 species
GUACACGCUGUGACUAGCAUAUCAAUAAGCGGAGGAAAAGAAACUAACAAGGAUUCCCUAGUAACGGCGAGUGAAGCGGGAAGAGCUCAAAUUUGAAAUCUUAAAGGGUUUCCCUUUACGAAUUGUAGCUUAAAGAAGUGUUUUCUGUUGAGGUUUUGGUAAAAGUUCUUUGGAAUAGGACAUCAUAGAGGGUGAGAAUCCCGUAUUUGACCUUUACUUUCAACUUUGUGAUACACUUUCAAAGAGUCGGAUUGUUUGGGAAUGCAGUCCAAAAUGGGUGGUAAAUUUCAUCUAAAGCUAAAUAUUGGCGAGAGACCGAUAGCGAACAAGUACCGUGAGGGAAAGAUGAAAAGAACUUUGAAAAGAGAGUUAAGCAGUACGUGAAAUUGUCAAAAGGGAAGCGUUUGACACCAGUGUUGUUUUUCUGAAAAUCAAUUAAAGAACUGUUUAUGCUAAGUUGUUUAGACUUUAUCAGCUAACUGUUUAGUUUUGAGCUUUUCUUUAAUGCACUUUUCAGUUAACAAGUCAACAUCAAUUUCUUUUGCUGUAAAAAAGCUUGAGGAAGGUGGCUUGAGAUUCGUCUUAAGUGUUUAUAGCCUCUUGCCUAUGCAGUCGGAGAGAUUGAGGUCUGCAGCGUAGAUCCUUCGGGGCUAAAUGCAUUUGAUGCUAAGUUAUAGCAUUUUAUAGACAACUUGUUGACCUAUGAUUUAGUCUUGUAGCUUACUCGCUUAUGUUAUUUUACCUACGCUUAGGAUGUUGAGUCGUAGAGCACGCAG